UCGGGAAUUUUGGGCAAUGGGCGCAAGCCUGAUCCAGCCAUGCCGCGUGAGUGACGAAGGUCUUCGGAUUGUAAAGCUCUUUUGGCGGGGACGAUAAUGACGGUACCCGCAGAAUAAGCCCCGGCUAACUUCGUGCCAGCAGCCGCGGUAAUACGAAGGGGGCUAGCGUUGUUCGGAAUUACUGGGCGUAAAGCGCACGUAGGCGGACUGAUAAGUCAGGGGUGAAAUCCCGGGGCUCAACCCCGGAACUGCCUUUGAUACUGUUAGUCUCGAGUCCGGAAGAGGUGAGUGGAAUUCCUAGUGUAGAGGUGAAAUUCGUAGAUAUUAGGAAGAACACCAGUGGCGAAGGCGGCUCACUGGUCCGGUACUGACGGUGAGGGAUGAAAGCUGGGGGAGCAAACCGGAUUAGAUACCCUUGUAGUCCCUGAGCGGGCUGGCAAGGCGCAU
rnacentral:rRNA from 1 species